GACAUAGGUCGCAAACGUUAUCCGGAAUUAUUGGGCGUAAAGGAUGCGUAGAUGGUUCAGUAAGUUACUGGUGGGAAAUCGAGGCUCAACGCCUCGUGGAAGUCAGUAAUACUGCUGAACUUGAGUGCAGGAGAGGUUAACGGAACUUUAUGUGGAGCGGUAAAAUGCGUAGAUAUAUGAAAGAACAUCAAUAUGGCGAAGGCAGUUAACUAUUCUGUUACUGACAUUUGAGGCAUGAAAGCGUGGGGAGCAAAAACGG
rnacentral:rRNA from 1 species